GGCUCAGGAUGAACGCUGGCGGCGUGCUUAACACAUGCAAGUCGAACGGUGAACACGGAGCUUGCUCUGUGGGAUCAGUGGCGAACGGGUGAGUAACACGUGAGCAACCUGCCCCUGACUCUGGGAUAAGCGCUGGAAACGGCGUCUAAUACUGGAUAUGUGACGUGACCGCAUGGUCUGCGUCUGGAAAGAUUUUUCGGUUGGGGAUGGGCUCGCGGCCUAUCAGCUUGUUGGUGAGGUAAUGGCUCACCAAGGCGUCGACGGGUAGCCGGCCUGAGAGGGUGACCGGCCACACUGGGACUGAGACACGGCCCAGACUCCUACGGGAGGCAGCAGUGGGGAAUAUUGCACAAUGGGCGCAAGCCUGAUGCAGCAACGCCGCGUGAGGGAUGACGGCCUUCGGGUUGUAAACCUCUUUUAGCAGGGAAGAAGCGAAAGU
rnacentral:rRNA from 1 species